rnacentral:rRNA from 1 species
AGUGGCGGACGGGUGAGUAACGCGUAAGAAUCUAACUUCAGGACGGGGACAACAGUUGGAAACGACUGCUAAUACCCGAUGUGCCGCAAGGUGAAACCUAAUUGGCCUGAAGAAGAGCUUGCGUCUGAUUAGCUAGUUGGUGGGGUAAAGGCCUACCAAGGCGACGAUCAGUAGCUGGUCUGAGAGGAUGAGCAGCACACUGGGACUGAGACACGGCCCAGACUCCUACGGGAGGCAGCAGUGGGGAAUUUUCCGCAAUGGGCGAAAGCCUGACGGAGCAACGCCGCGUGAGGGAGGAAGGUCUUUGGAUUGUAAACCUCUUUUCUCAAGGAAGAAGUUCUGACGGUACUUGAGGAAUCAGCCUCGGCUAACUCCGUGCCAGCAGCCGCGGUAAUACGGGGGAGGCAAGCGUUAUCCGGAAUUAUUGGGCGUAAAGCGUCCGCAGGUGGUCAGCCAAGUCUGCUGUCAAAUCAGGUUGCUUAACGACCUAAAGGCGGUGGAAACUGGCAGACUAGAGAGCAGUAGGGGUAGCAGGAAUUCCCAGUGUAGCGGUGAAAUGCGUAGAGAUUGGGAAGAACAUCGGUGGCGAAAGCGUGCUACUGGGCUGUAUCUGACACUCAGGGACGAAAGCUAGGGGAGCGAAAGGGAUUAGAUACCCCUGUAGUCCUAGCCGUAAACGAUGGAUACUAGGCGUGGCUUG